AAAAUUUCAAAGGUCGAACAGACCUAAUAUUUUAGCUUCUACACCAAAAAUAAAUUUUAAUCCAACAUCGAGGUCGCAAACCUUUUUUUCAAUAAGAACUAUUAAAAAGAUUACG
rnacentral:rRNA from 1 species